rnacentral:lncRNA from 1 species
AUGGCUGGCUGUAAGGCUGGAAAGGAUUCCGGAAAGAGCAAGACAAAGGCGGUUGGUUUCCCACACACAGCCAGCAUUCUUGCAGUUCAAUGUGGGCCACUAGGACAACCAACCAUUUUUGUCUGCGGGUGUGACUGCUGCUGUGUAUACAGCCCAGCCAUCCUAGAGUACCUCAACACAGAGGUACUUGAGUUGGCAGGAAAUGCAUCAAAAGACUUAAAGGUAAAGUGUAUUACCCCUCUUCACUUGCAACUUGCUAUAAGUGGAGAAUUGGAUUCUCUGACAAAGGCUAUCAUUGCUGGUGGUGGUGUCACCGGACACAUCCACAAAUCGCUGAUUGGGAAGAAAGGACAACAGAAGACU